rnacentral:rRNA from 2 species
GGUUGACCUCGGAUCAGGUAGGGAUACCCGCUGAACUUAAGCAUAUCAAUAAGCGGAA